UACAGAGGGGGCAAGCGUUAUUCGGAAUUAUUGGGCGUAAAGGGCUCGUAGGCGGCCAACUAAGUCAGACGUGAAAUCCCUCGGCUUAACCGGGGAACUGCGUCUGAUACUGGAUGGCUUGAAUCCGGGAGAGGGAUGCGGAAUUCCAGGUGUAGCGGUGAAAUGCGUAGAUAUCUGGAGGAACACCGGUGGCGAAGGCGGCAUCCUGGACCGGCAUUGACGCUGAGGAGCGAAAGCGUGGGGAGCAAACAGG
rnacentral:rRNA from 1 species